GAUGAACGCUAGCGGCAGGCCUAAUACAUGCAAGCUGAACGGUAAAUGUUGUAGCAAUACAAUAUGAGAGUAGCGUAAGGGUGCGUAACACGUAUGCAAUCUACCCGCAACAGGAGGAUAGCUCCCCGAAAGGGGAAUUAAUACUCCAUAAGAUCACGAGAAGGCAUCUGAUUGUGAUUAAACUCCAAGGGGUUGCGGAUGAGCAUGCGCAUGAUUAGUUAGUUGGCGGGGUAACGGCCCACCAAGACGAUGAUCAUUAGGGGAACUGAGAGGUUGCACACCCACACUAGCACUGAGAGACGGGACCGACUCCUACGGGAGGAAGCAGUAGGGAAUAUUGGUCAAUGGGUGGAAGCCUGAACCAGCCAUGCCGCGUGCAGGAAGAAAGCCUUGUGGGUUGUAAACUGCUUUUAUCUGGGGAUAAAAUACCCGUGCGCGGGGAAUUGAAGGUACAAGAUGAAUAAGCUACGGCUAACUACGUGCCAGCCGCCGCAGUAAGAC
rnacentral:rRNA from 1 species